rnacentral:rRNA from 1 species
UAAGGAAUAUUGGUCAAUGGGCGAGAGCCUGAACCAGCCACGCCGCGUGAAGGAAGACGGCCCUACGGGUUGUAAACUUCUUUUCUACGGGAAUAAACCUCAGGACGUGUCCUGAGCUGAAGGUACCGUAGGAAUAAGCAUCGGCUAACUCCGUGCCAGCAGCCGCGGUAAUACGGAGGAUGCAAGCGUUAUCCGGAUUUAUUGGGUUUAAAGGGUGCGUAGGUGGGAUGAUAAGUCAGAGGUGAAAGCUAGCAGCUUAACUGUUAAAUUGCCUUUGAUACUGUUAUUCUUGAGUGUAGUUGGCGUUGGCGGAAUGUGACAUGUAGCGGUGAAAUGCGUAGAUAUGUCACAGAACACCGAUCGCGAAGGCAGCUAACGAAGCUAUCACUGACACUGAUGCACGAAAGCGUGGGGAGCAAACAGG